CCUACGGGUGGCAGCAGUGAGGAAUAUUGGUCAAUGGACGAGAGUCUGAACCAGCCAAGUAGCGUGAAGGAUGACUGCCCUAUGGGUUGUAAACUUCUUUUAUAUGGGAAUAAAAUGUUCCACGUGUGGCCUUUUGUCUGUACCUUAUGAAUAAGGAUCGGCUAACUCCGUGCCAGCAGCCGCGGUAAUACGGAGGAUCCGAGCGUUAUCCGGAUUUAUUGGGUUUAAAGGGCGCGUAGGUGGAUUGUUAAGUCAGUUGUGAAAGGUUGCGGCGCAACCGUAAAAUUGCAGUUGAAACUGGCAGUCUUGAGUACAGUAGAGGUGGGCGGAAGUCGUGGUGUAGCGGUGAAAUGCUUAGAUAUCACGAAGAACUCCGAUUGCGAAGGCAGCUCACUGGACUGCAACUGACACUGAGGCUCGAAAGUGUGGGUAUCAAACAGGAUUAGAUACCCGUGUAGUC
rnacentral:rRNA from 1 species